AAAUUCAGAAAAAAGCGGAGAAAAGGCUAUGCAAUGAUGCCUUAGUGCGACUAUGGGAGAAGAUCAGGGGUUAUGCGUCGAAAAAGGAACCUCACACUACGAAAUGCCGCUACGAGGAACAUUGUGUAUUUAAACCAGAAGGCGAAAGCCUCGUCAUGCAUGAACGACCGGUUCACGCAGAGAAGGAAUUGCCUCCAAAUUCACCGAAUUGCGUAUCACUGGCUGUAUAGAAAGGGAAAUAAAUAUUUGUUCACCAA
rnacentral:lncRNA from 1 species